rnacentral:rRNA from 1 species
UACGUAGGGUGCAAGCGUUGUCCGGAAUUAUUGGGCGUAAAGAGCUCGUAGGCGGUCUGUCGCGUCUGCUGUGAAAACUCAGGCUUAACCCUGAGCUUGCAGUGGGUACGGGCAGACUAGAGUGCGGUAGGGGAGACUGGAAUUCCUGGUGCAGCGGUGAAAUGCGCAGAUAUCAGGAGGAACACCGGUGGCGAAGGCGGGUCU